AGUGAACGCUGGCGGUAGGCCUAACACAUGCAAGUCGAACGGCAGCACAGUAAGAGCUUGCUCUUACGGGUGACGAGUGGCGGACGGGUGAGGAAUACAGCGGAAUCUACUUUUUCGUGGGGGGUAACGUAGGGAAACUUACGCUAAUACCGCAUACGACCUACGGGUGAAAGCAGGGGAUCUUCGGACCUUGCGCGAUUGAAUGAGCCGAUGUCGGAUUAGCUAGUUGGCGGGGUAAAGGCCCACCAAGGCGACGAUCCGUAGCUGGUCUGAGAGGAUGAUCAGCCACACUGGAACUGAGACACGGUCCAGACUCCUACGGGAGGCAGCAGUGGGGAAUAUUGGACAAUGGGCGCAAGCCUGAUCCAGCCAUACCGCGUGGGUGAAGAAGGCCUUCGGGUUGUAAAGCCCUUUUGUUGGGAAAGAAAAGCAGCAGGUUAAUACCCCGCUGUUCUGACGGUACCCAAAGAAUAAGCACCGGCUAACUUCGUG
rnacentral:rRNA from 1 species